AAAUUAAAACAAAUCUACAAAGAACUAAAAGAGGUCCACGACCAAAUGAAGUUUUUCUUCUUCUUUUGCAGUAUGACGUUGAAAAAGUCAUGACAGUUAAGCACUUGUAGAUGACUAUGAUGUAACAUUUUGGCCACCGAUGGACUAAUGUUGGAUUUGGAUACCAAAUGGAAACACUGAAAACAAGAUUCAUGUGAAAUUGACGACGUUAUCAUAACAUGUCAACAGCAAGUGCUGCGUGAGUGUUCACCACUCCUUUUAUCGUAGUAAUCUCAAAGUGAGUGUUCGCCACUCCAUUUAUCGUAGUCAUCUCAAAGUGACGAAACAAACUAAUUCAAGUUGAGCUUUAGUUGUAGGUUAAAGUUCGAUGCUAGAUGAGAUAUUUGACCCCAAGGACAGGUGAGUCCAAGCAAAGUGCGAGGAUACUGCUUUGUUCUCUACUGCUGCCAUUUUUAAAAUGAAUUUAGUGCCAGUCCCUUCUCUAGAAAAACAUUUUGAUCAAACACCUUAUUUUCUUGUUCACAUUUACUAAUUAAAUGACCUUUAGUCGAAUUCGCACAGUGACUAGUUAGAUUUGUUUUGCUAUAUUUUCAUGUGGUCUGGAACUAUCAUUAAAUCUAAUUUGGUGGGACCUUCCAUGCUCCCGAUGAAAAAUCCUACAGUUUCAUUUCAAUGCUCGCAAAGCCACAUUUUAGAAAAAUCCUGUUUGGUCGGAGUCACAAGCAUGUCGAAUAAUGUGCGAUUACACACUAAAUUUGUACCUCUCGUCACAAACCCUUCCGCAGGGGGAAAUGUUAAAGUUGUGCCGACGUCACACACAGAGGAACUUGUUUGCCAAACAGAGUGUACAAUUACUAUGCGGCUUCCCUUUACCCAGAAUUCACAGGAAAUGGAUGUACAAUAAUUGGUGCUGGAGGGGGUGGAACCACCAUAUUACAUUAGUAUGCAGUACUGUAUUUAAAUGUACACUAUAUAAAAUAAUAUAGUUAAAUAAUAAUUGUCAUUUCUCGUGAAUGGGCUUCUUUGAUUCUUAAUUGGUGCCAGUGAUUGGUGAAUUGUGACUUUGUCCCUCCCACAUAUAUUAUUGCACCCAAUUAUAUUUCACAUUUUUUUCAUGUUGUGACAGGUAAUUAUCAAAUGAAGUACCGAACAAAACAAUGUGUCGACAAGCAACUUGGCAGCUGUACGGAGUGUGCAGAAGAGACGUAACUUACCUGCAUUGAACGUGGGCGUGUUCCACUUGAUGGCGAUCAGAGCCACAGUAACACUUGCCAGAAGGACUUUGGUCAACGUUUUCAUGUUGUAAACUAUCAUUUAAAUAAGUCAAUAAGUAUAAACACC